rnacentral:rRNA from 1 species
GACGAACGCUGGCGGCGUGCUUAACACAUGCAAGUCGAGCGGAAAGGCCACUUCGGUGGCACUCGAGCGGCGAACGGGUGAGUAACACGUGAGUAAUCUGCCCCUGGCUUUGGGAUAACCACCGGAAACGGUGAUUAAUACCGGAUACGACCACUUCUCGCAUGGGAUGGUGGUGGAAAGUUUUUUCGGCCAGGGAUGUGCUCGCGGCCUAUCAGCUUGAUGGUGAGGUAAUGGCUCACCAUGGCUUCGACGGGUCGCCGGCCUGAGAGGGUGACCGGUCACACUGGGACUGAGACACGGCCCAGACUCCUACGGGAGGCAGCAGUGGGGAAUAUUGGACAAUGGGCGGAAGCCUGAUCCAGCAACGCCACGUGAGGGAUGACGGCCUUCGGGUUGUAAACCUCUUUCAGCAGGGACGAAGCGCAAGUGACGGUACCUGCAGAAGAAGCACCGGCCAACUACGUGCCAGCCGCCGCCGUAA